rnacentral:lncRNA from 1 species
GGGACUGUCCGACCAGCACCUUUCUUGUGGGCCCUUGGGGUGAGAAGUCUCCCGGAGACGGAGACCGGUGCUGUGCCGCGUGCUGGUAGGUCACCACGCAGCGCCAAGUGACGGAGAGGACAGUGCACACCGGAAGCACCGGCGGCUUGCUCUGGGCUCUGGGUGCAUCUGGGCGAAGCUGGCCUGAUGAUCGGGAGCUGAGGCGCUGUCCCCUCCCUGUCAGUCGGCGUCAGGGACUCCUCCCUCCCUCCCCUCAACCCCGAAGCUGGUGCAGCCCGGCUCCUGCUGCCUAGGAGGGGGCCCUGGGCUCCCAGCGCCCUCUUCCUGCAACUGCGUCCUCUCUCCUCUCCCGGGCCCCUGCUCCUUCCCCGGGCUGGACUUGUGCCAUGGAUCUGUGGCCCUGCGAUGGCCUGGAGCCCUGGGUGCGGAUGAGGUGUGGCCCUCGGGACACCUAGUGGACCCUCUGUGUCGCCUGAGCCCGGCCCUAGCUGAAAACAGCUUCCUCCUCCUUGUGCUGGGCACGGAAGACCCUGAAAUUUCCGGGCGAGGCCCAUGGAUGUCGCCAUCGCCGAGGGUCGCUGACCCCAUGCUCGACCCCCUCAGUCACCAUGGCGCCCUGCAGGAUGCAUGGACCCCCCGGAUGAGCAGCAGUCUCGAGGGGCCCCCUCUGCGGCGGCGGGGUGGCGUGGUGGACCACAGGGAUGUCAUCUUGGCCCACCAGGCGCACAAGACCCACAGUACCCCGCAGGCCCGGAGGAAGGAGUGGGAGUGAGUAUACCUGAGCGGGUGGGGGGCCUGGGGGCAGGCGGAGCUGUCUUGGGGCCAACUGUGGGGUGCAGAGUCGCAAGCUGGAGCGUGCAGAGGAGGGCACACUGGCUGUGGAAUCUCAGUGCCCACUAAUCCAUCCUAGUUUUCUUUUCCAGUACUGAGGAUUGAACCCAGGGCCUCUGCACUGAGCCCUAGUACUUUUUAAAAGUUUUAAUUUUGAGACAGGGUCUUGCCAAGUUGCUAAGCUGCUCAGGCUGAGCUCAAACUUGGGAUCUCCCUGCCUCAGCCUCCCAGAGCACUGGGAUGACUGGUGUACGGCAAUAUGCCCAAUUAGUUCCCAGGUCUUAAGUCACCCCAAAUAUGCGGGAUUCGAUCCUUAACCCUGGAUUUCCCCACACAUGAUGCAGCAAUAAAGGAGCUCAGCAAUACGGGGAGGACCUGCUGAAGGGGGUCUGGGAGAUGCGGCUGUCUGGAGGAACUCGCAGGAACCCCACUUCCGCUCCACGGGAGUCUAACCCUGUGGGUUUGGGGGCAGAGACGGAACCGUGUGCUGAAGGCAGAGAGGGCUAGGAGGACUGUGACAGCCUUGGCAGAGCUGGCACCUGGGCCCCCGCUCUUUGCCAGUGACCCCCAACGUAGGUUUUCUCCAGGGGCAUUCAGGGGCAUUCAGGGGCGGGGCCAGGGCUCCCCGGUGACCUUGGUGGCCCAGCUGUCCCCGGGCGCUGGAGGACCAAGGUGGCUCGCGCCAAAGUUUAGUCCUCUCUGUGCGGUGUCUCGUGUUCUUUUCUUUGUGCUGCUUUUAAAAUUUUGAGUUUUCGUUAAUUUUGUUUGCUUUUGCUCUAGCGUUUCUUUAGCAAAGACGCGAGGUUGGGUUUCGGUGACGAUGGGGACCCUGGCUGUCCACGGGGGUUCGGGGCUGUCACUGCCCCAGGCCACUUGCUUCUGCUUCUGCUGGACGGAGCGGGCUCUACAUCUCUGUGGGUUGAGGGCCGAUGUAGACGCGAG